AUUGCCCCGUGUGUUUGUGCUGCUGGCAGCACGCUUGUCAGCUGUGCACACGGAAUGACUUAUGCCAUCACUGCCACUGGUAGCAAUCCAGCCUGGAAUAAUGAAACAGCCAUGGCGCCCAUGAUUUAUUAAUUAGUGCCAAAGGAUUUAUGCAGCUCCCCAAAAGGACUGAAAAUCUCCUAAGCAACCUGGCUUACCCUGGGUACCAACCUGGCUUCGUUCACCAAUAGAGAAUGAAUUAUUUGCAUCCAUUUCCAAGAAGCAGCUGUGCUUUUGAGGGAAUACGGACCCAUUUGGCUUAUUUCAUCAGUCUGAAAGUUGCCGGAAAGGAUGGAGGAAGGAGCUCUGAUAACGGAAUAAACUGUACAGAAGAUGUGAAAAGGCAGCUGCACUCCCUCUGGAAGCAAAAACAUUUGUUUCAGGCCUUUCUAGCAGGUUAUGUAUGGAGAAGUGGGCACUCCUGCACUCUUCGGAGCAUGGCUGGUGGAAAGAGCCAUCCUUUUGCCUCCAUCAGAAAGCAAUUAUGGACAUCUAGCACAGCCAUAUGGCACCAUGACCGUCCAGUUCUGGGGCUGCCUUGUAAGUGAACAUCCCAUUCUCCACAAUCCAAAGCUACCACGUUGAUGUUAGGCACUAGGAAGGCCUAAGACAGGUGCAGUACUGACACCAUCCUCCUCUUCAAGGUCAGCCAUCCAUUUGGGGUUUUUAGGGAGUCAAAUCGCACUCAUGAAUAAUUCAUUCUACAAACUUUUCAACCUUCACCAAAAUGAUUUGUGAAUAAAUGUUUUCAUUACUUGGCUGG
ensembl:lncRNA